rnacentral:rRNA from 1 species
GGAAUCUUGCGCAAUGGGCGAAAGCCUGACGCAGCGACGCCGCGUGGGGGAAGAAGGCCUUCGGGUUGUAAAGCUCUUUUGUCAGGGAAGAAACGGUCCGGGCUAAUAUCCUGGGCUAAUGACGGUACCUGAAGAAUAAGCACCGGCUAACUACGUGCCAGCAGCCGCGGUAAUACGUAGGGUGCAAGCGUUAAUCGGAAUUACUGGGCGUAAAGCGUGCGCAGGCGGUUGUGCAAGACAGAUGUGAAAUCCCCGGGCUUAACCUGGGAAUUGCAUUUGUGACUGCACGGCUAGAGUGUGUCAGAGGGGGGUAGAAUUCCACGUGUAGCAGUGAAAUGCGUAGAGAUGUGGAGGAAUACCGAUGGCGAAGGCAGCCCCCUGGGAUAACACUGACGCUCAUGCACGAAAGCGUGGGGAGCAAAC